rnacentral:tRNA from 1 species
GGUCGUUAGCUCAGUUGGGCAGAGCAGUUGACUUUUAAUCAAUUGGUCGCAGGUUCGAGCCGAGCAGAGCG